GGGCAUUUGGCACAGUGGUAGCGCGCACGCUUCGCAUUAGCAUUUGCGUGAGGACGGGAGUUCAAUCCUCCCAAUGUCCA